GCAUCGAACUUCUAGACCACAUCCUCUUCAUGGAUCAAGCAUUAAUUUUUUUUGCUUGACAGCUGAUUGUGUUCCUGUGUUAGAUACCCAUGUUGGAGGUACUAUGCUUCUAUGUUGCCUUAGUCCUCUUGGUGCCUUCUAAGGGCAUCGAGUGGAGCAUGUCGUUUGAUUUGACAUACCAGGCAUGCCGAUUCGGUUGCAAUGGUUGUUGGAUCAAAGCUUGUGUUCUCGGAUGCAGAAUAUUUGAUGGGUCCAAGGAUUUAAUCCUUGUAUUAGCCCUAUGUGGGAAAUCGUCCCUCGAUAAGUAUGACAUCCCUUGUGCGCUACGAUUUAUCCAAUGCCCGUUGGGGCUUAGGAUGCUUUGUUCGUGCAUCGGUGUCUUCGAAGGAAUGCUACCUGGUUGAUCCUGCCAGUAGUCAUAUGCUUGUCUCAAAGAUUAAGCCAUGCAUGUGA
rnacentral:misc_RNA from 1 species